CGGCCGCGUCGACGAACGGGUGAGUAACGCGUAGGUAACCUGCCUGGUAGCGGGGAGGUAACUAUUGUAACGGAAUAGCUAAUAACCGCCAUAAAAUUAAGUAUUAUUUGUCAUGAUAAUUAGUAUUGUAAAGAAUAGCAAUUAGUCAUCACUACCACGAUGGACCGUCGCGUUGGUUAUUAGUCUAGUUGGUUGGAGGUAACGGGACGUCACCAACGGACGGACGAUACAUAGCCGACCUCGAGAGGGUGAUCGGCCACACUGGGACUGGAGACACGGCCCAGACCUCCUACGGGAGGCAGGCAGUAGGGAAUCUUCGGCAAUGGGGGCAACCCGUGACCCGAGCAAAGUCGUGGAGGCAAG
rnacentral:rRNA from 1 species